UCAGUGGCGUGCCUAGGGUGUAAGGACUGGGCAAGCCCAAAUUUUUCGAAGUGUUUGCUGGGUACCUAUGUUCGUUAUAAAACUUAUAAAAAAUGUGAACAUACCGAAUCAAAUCUUCUAAAUCUUCACGCGCGCCCGCAAACAGUUGAGUCAAACGUUUACCAUUACAAUCAUAUUAAAAUCUAUAUCUAUAAAUUAUAUAAAACUGUAUGACAUUAUAUUAUAAAAUUGUACAGAUCAUUUAUAUUCUAAUUCAAAACGCCGAUCUUUCUGAAGGAAAUAUUUUAUAACAUCAGAAUAGAAGUAGGUACCUACUUAGGUGAUUGUUUUAAUUCAAUUAACAGCUCUUUCUCAAUGACAGUCAUUGUUAAUUCAGAAAGGCGUUCUUGGCCUUGUGUAUUUCUUAAAUACGUACCUACCUACCUAUGAAUUCGAUUUAACGCUGAGAAAGCACGCUCCGUGGAAGAACAACUAGCAAGAAUCGUAAAUACCAAAAUAUGUGCAAGUUUCAUCAGAAGGCUUCUUCUAACCAAUUCUCAUUCAUGAAAUCGAUUAAUUCGUAAACAAUACAAUUAAAAUUUGGUUUAUGUUACUUACUGCACAAAUCGGGAGUUGGUUUUGAUGAAGAAAUUAAUCGUUGUUUUACAGUAAAGUUUAAUGAUUUUACCUUCCCCGCUGAGCACAAAGCAAACCAU